rnacentral:lncRNA from 1 species
CAGAAUUUAUAGAAAGAUUAAAAGAUUCCCUAAGUGUAGCUAAAAGUUCAUUAUCUUCUUGAUUAAAAGAUAGGACCUCACCUAUAGAAAAGGGUUGGUUUUGACCUAUUGCAAUCAACUCCGGACACAAAUCAUAAUUUGGGGCAAAGAAAGGACUUGUUGACUUCCAUGGUCUAUGGCUGGUCUCCGAAGGUGCAAAAAAUUCAAUAAUAGGUGUGGAAUUUGAGUUAUCCAUAAAGAUGGAAAAAAUAAAAAGAUAAAAGAAUAAAAGUAUAAAAGUAUAAUACAAG